CUCAGGGACUCCUCACCCUCCUUUUCUAUCAGCCUCUCAACCCUCUGGACCCCUUCUUCUACAGACUUUAGCGGCUCCCCAUUCUCUUUCUCCAAAGGUCUAUAUGUGUCCUGGUCCUCCUCCUCCAGAGAGCUCAGGGACUCCUCACCCUCCUUUUCUAUCAGCCUCUCAACCCUCUGGUCCUCUUCUUCUACAGACUUUAGCGGCUCCCCAUUCUCUUUCUCCAAAGGUCUAUAUGUGUCCUGGUCCUCCUCUUCCAGAGAGCUCAGGGACUCCUCACCCUCCUUUUCUAUCAGCCUCUCAACCCUCUGGAUCUCUUCUUCUACAGACUUUAGCGGCUCUCCAUUCUCUUUCUCCAAAGGUCUAUAUGUGUCCUGGUCCU